CCAAGAGGCACAUGAAAAGAUGCUCAACAGUGAAAGUGAAGUCGCUCAGUCAUGUCCAACUCUUUGUGACCCCAUGGACUGUAGCCUACCAGGCUUCUCUGUCCAUGGAAUUUUCCAGUAUUCUUGCAGGGAGAAUCCCAGGACAGAGGGGCCUGGCGGGCUAUGGUCCAAAGCGUCGCAGAGUCCAACACAACUGAAGUGACUUAGCUCGCACGCAUGCAAAGUAUCUUUACUCUUCAGGUUACCAAUUCAUAGUUGAUCAGUAAUAAUAACAAUAAUACCUAGAAAAAGUGUAUUAAUGCUUUCUUUUUCUGAAGAUCAGUACCAUUUAUUCAAAGAUGAUGAUACAGCUGCACUUACCUCCCUUCAAUAGGACAGGAGCUUUGAGAUUUCCUUCAAUUAUGCUGACUAAUUUCCCAUUGUAUUCAUGGUUCCUCAUUCACCCUGUGUGACCAAUGGCCCAAGUCUACAUGCCCACUGGGCAGAAUUUUCUGACAUGGGUCAAAGCCAACUAACUGGUCCAAAGGAUUAUAGUCUUUGUUAAGGAAUGAAGGACCCAGCCCUCCCUAAAGAUCCUUCCCACUGGUAAAAGGCAUUAGAAGAAAGCCUUAUCAAAAAAGGAGGUGGCAGUCAGGCCUGAGACAGAGGAAAUUUGGAGCCCAGGACCUUCCAAGAUAACGGGGCUCUCUUGUCAGCCCUGGACAAAGAGAGUGUGGUUUCUGGGGAAAGUAUCACUGUCCCACUGUCUACUGUGGGACAUUCUCCAGGGCUGCAGUGAAAUUUUAGUCUCUGAGUACAGUUAAUAGUACCUCCUGCUUUGGUGACUUGAGCACCAAAGUCACCAAAGUUAAGUUAAGCUGCAAAUGUGUGCAUGCUAGGAGUGUUUGGAGAAUGGAGAUAACAAUAAGCAAACAAAUAAAACCUACUGCUUUGAGAUGUUUUAUAACAGCUGUGCUCCCUAUAGGACAGAUUUCCUCCUUGUCUGGAUCCAAGAGCAUCUCCUGGGUCCUCCUGGUUAGAAUGCUAAACGUCCUUUCAUCUUAAAAACCCAUCAGCUUUGACAUUUGGCCUCAACAGUUGCCCCCAAGGGAGAAGAGAGUGCGUUAAAGAUUGUCACUAGGUCUACAAGCACUGGCCACGACUUCUGUCACAUCCUACUGGCAGAAUCCAACCACAGGGUCCCAUCCUAACUUCAGGGCAGCCGGGAAACAUUGUCUUUUGUGUGCCAGAAAGAGAAGAUGAAAUUGAUGACUAUCUAGCCAGUCUUUCCUGCAAGUUUCUCCAAGUUGGGUUAUAUACUAUUUUUCUUCUAAUUGUGCUUUGCACGUGAUACCAUUUAGUCUGCCUCCUUGCUUGGCACUGUAUGCUAUGACACCUCUGGGCAGCAUCCUGUUUCUCACAAUGGCACUGUGAGUGGUCAGGACAGGUGUUAUUAUACAUGUUUUAUAGACUGAGGACCUCAAGAGCCAGAAUAGUCACAUGACUUGUCCAAAGUAUAUACUACUUGAGGACAGAAGGGGAAGAGGGUGACAGAGGAUGAAAUGGUUGGAUGGCAUCGUCAACUCAAUGGACAUGAGUUUGAGUAAGCUCCAGGAGAUAGUGAAGGACAGGGAAGCCUGGCAUGCUACAGUCCACGUGGUCGCAAAGGGUUAGAUACGACUGAGGGACUGAACAACACCGGGGACAGAGCUCGCUCUCAGGUCAGCAGUCUCUCCUCUACACCAUCCCAUCUACCCCAGCAGCUCACACUAGAUGAGGCACAGGAUUAAGUGGGCAGAAAAUACAUUUUAAUUUUACUAUAAAUCAGCCUAAUUUAUUCUUUAAGCCCCUGCUCUCUCUUGGAAGGUGUCAGCAAUGAGUCCCAUCAUUUUAGUAUCUCUCCAUCUUUGAAGGCGUGUCUAGGUUUGGGUUGGGACGUGACGGGGUGCAGGGGUUAGUGCCAAGGUACUGGGGGAUCUAUUUGCUCCUCAAGUCAGCUACAGUUCCUGCUAGUCUCCCUACUAAUAAAGAAGCAUCUGCGCCUCCUUCCUGUCCACACAGCUCAUGCAUGCCCAGCAGCUCCCUGCUACUUUGGGGUCACUCCAGGAUCUGGGAAGCUUUGUAAGCCCACACCCCAUAGCUGAUAUCUCCCCAGGCUUGUGCCUUUCUGAGGAAAGAGGGGAAGGGAGGAGGGAAGGACCCACCAGGCCUUUGCCGUCUCACUUUUCAUCCAUCUCUCCUCCCACCCAGCGAAGGGAAGUGUUUCUCAUCUUCCAGAGAAACCCCACUCUCCCCAGGCCUUUUUCUUCUGAAUCACUUUGGCUGCACGCCUGAUCCUCUCCAGUCCUCUGAGGGCUUUUAUAACACAAAGCAUAACUCAGAGAAGUUUUCCAUCCUUAUUUUGCUUUUUAAUGCUGUCACAUCAUGCUCUUACCUUGAGGCAAUGAAACAAAGGGCCUGCUGUCCAAGCCAUGAGGUGGGGACAGGGGAAUACCAAGAAAGAAACCACUUCACUAUCACAUGUGUAUCACGUGUAACUUCACCAGGUCCUUGUGAGGUGAAGUCUCUGUGUCAUUUUCCUGAAACUAACAGUGAGGGGAAGAGGCACUGAUGAAAGCUGUUACAUUUGGGAACUAGCAGGUUAAACCCCUUCCUGCCCGACUGGUCUUUAAAUGUACCAUUUCCCUUCCUCUACCUCAUCCCCUACGAAUCCACCCUCAAAAGAUUGAUCCAGCGAUCUUAGUGAUCAAGUUUUCACUUAAGAAUUGAGGACCUGGUCUUCUCAGAGUAAGACCUACAGCUGGGUUGUCUAGAUGAUUCUCUAGCCUUCUAAGUGUGGAAAAGGUGAUGCGUUUCUCUGUGUGUUUAAAUGUUUAUCACUUCACUUCCCCUACCUCAGUUAUGAGCACGCACCCUAGAGUAAAUCUGUCCUCCUCUCGGGAGGACAUUUCACUGCACAGUAUGUCCAGUAUGAUGAAGCGAAAGGAAGCAUGAAGAUGACUUAAGUGGAAGGAUCACUUGUAAGAGCUGCAAAAGUCAGAUCAACUGGCAGGCAAAGAAAUGCUGCCUGAAAGCAAAGCAUCAUUUGAAAAAAAAAAUCUGACUUGUACCAAAUCUUAUUUGCAAAGUGGAUUUUAAAAUCAUUUCAAAACACACGAGGCUUUCAAAAGAUGUUUGUUUUAGAGUACACUUGGCUUCUGGUCAAAAGCUGAAGUUUCGGUGAUGCACAGUAACAAUUGUAGUAUAAUUACUGGCUACAGAAUACCAGGUGCCCGACCAAGCCUUUUCUACCCACUUAAGAGAGCUACGCCAAGCCAAAAUACCCUGCCAAGCCAUACCCAGAAGUUCCAGAGCUCAGCCUUUGUCACCAAGAAACAAUUAAUUCACAGAGCAAAGCCAUUAUUGGGCACAACCAGGUGUUCUGGUGUGAACACCUUUUGUUAACACAUGUUGAGAAUUUGAACUUUCUCACAGUUAAGAGGCCUGCUUGAGAGAGAAUUUAAACCAAGCCAGGCACAAGGUUGUUUUGUGUUUUAGAUUUGUGAUUUUGUGUCUAUGGGAUCAAGACAGUAGGGAAAUGCUGGCUUUGGAAGCCAGAGUCUCCCCCAGCUGUCAUUUGACCUCAGGAUUGUAGUGUUCUUUAUUCUUGUGUGAAGAGAUUGCUUUACAUCAAGGGAAUGAACUCGGAAAAAAAAAAAAAAAUCAGAUAAAACACAGGAGUGGUAUAGGGAAGGAACAUAUUAAGAGACCUAGGGAUGCACUUCCUCAUUAUAUGUAAGGAAGCUAUUUUCUAGGUUCCUGAAGCUAUAAAAAGCCAAAUGAAUUUGCUUAAGUUAAUAAAUUUUAUUUAAUUAUGAGGAUAAUACCACAGCAAAAUGUUUUAUGUUUCCUCUCUUUUUAUUGCUUCCUGUUAGUUACUGAGAGAAGAAAUUCAGUGUAACUUUUUUUGUACUCUGAUAAUGAUGAGACUAUUUCAUUUGUUUUGCAUAUACUUCCCAAUGUCUGCGUUAUGUGCGUAUAUAACUAAAUUGAAUAGGAUGGCUGCCUUCUGUGGUUGCUGUAAACACAGAUGUAAGGCUAAAGGUGGGGCCCAGUUUUAUUACAGCAAAACCCCAUCAUGGAAGCCCUUUGCUAGGCUUUGGAACUGAUUGUUCUGUAGUGAGAGAAAAAGCAAAACCUUCAGUUCUUGGAAAGACCUGAGAAGUCUGUGGUAUGAAGCUUAUUUUUCUUUCUGAACCCUGGGAUGAGAAUAAGUUUUACACUCAGCUUCAGUGAUCAGUCUGCUUUGGUUUGUUGGUGUCCGGUGUCCUGGAAGCAGGCUGGGUCUCCCGGGGUUCAGCUGACGGGCCUUGCAAGCUUUUUCACCAGUAGUAGCAGAGGUGGAGGUGGUGAAGCCACGAAGUGGACAUCACUAGGAAGGGGGUGUGAGCCAGGGGCUGUCUGAACACCUCCCUGUCUUCUGUCCGCAAUCCCUCAAGGUUGGUGCCUCUGCAUUUCACAGACGAGGAAAAGAGAUAACAAGUUAUUACCUGAACCACAUGGAAUCCCUGUUUUUGCAGAUCAAAAAAGGUCUAAUAUCAGCAACUUCAUAUGAUUCAGCCUAAUAUUUGCCUAGUUAGUGGGCUGUGAUCCCAGAGUUUGAACUCUUACCUACCCCCCAAAUUAUAGCUGCAUAUCUGUAUUUCAGAUGGCAGAACAGGGCUCUGAGCAGAUGCAUUCAAAAGCAGUCAAUCAGUAGACUAUUGCCUUUCUUCUCUGGUCUGCGGUCUCAACUACUAACUGUAUUCAUGUCGUAGUGUGAAAGUUAGCUGGAGACAGACCAGACUGGCCUGCCUGUGACUAUUGUUCUUACUGUGAAGCUGCAAUCAGCCUGUCAGACCAACUCUUGUCAGGCCAGUGCCUCCAAACUACCUGCCUAAAUAUAUCUUCCUCUCAGGAUGGCACAGAGCCGGAGAUCCCAUUUCCCAAGCUGAACUCCCACCUUUAGAACCACUCAGCUCCGACCAUAUGCCUUCCUCCUUGAGCCGUUGUCAGAUUCUGCUCAAGCCCUCCUGUUAACACACUGAUGACUAGCUUAUCUUCAGAUUACAAGAACUCAGGGUUUGGAUCAAGUAACUUUUGUUUGGAGCUGAUGGGUAAGGUCAGGAGCCUGAGGGUGAAUCAUGGACUAUUAGAUGCAACGGAAACAUUAGAAGCUGUAUUGGCCGACCCCAGCCUUUUGCAGCCAUGGUAACUGAUAUACAGGUACCCACGCUUUGGCUGUCUUGACUGCAGAAUGACCACAUUUUGCCUCAGACCGAGGGGUUUCCUGGAGUGUGAGACUUGCUGUGCUUAAACAGGGCAAGUCCUGGACAAACUGUGAUGAGAUGGGCCACCCUACUCACUUGGAAGCCCCAAACCCUUCAGCUUCUCUGGGCAAGUCAGGUGUGCACAGGGCCAUACAGCGAGGGUUCCACAGUUGCCUGGUCCAGCUCAAAAACCCUGGGGCAGGGGGUAAUGACUGCCAACACAGACUCACAGGGCUCAGUCUAACCCAGGCUGGCUCCCCGGCCGCCAUGAGCUUGGACACCACGUGGAGGCAGCCCUGAGGGGUACGGAGGUGUCUGCCUCAUGACUGACUGCACUCUUAACCUCCUGGGCCACGGCAUUUGGGAAGGCCGGCCGGGUUGAGUCAGUCCCAGGAAAUAAGGCUGCGGUCCAGUUUACCGACUUCAUAGCGAGGGCCUCUGGGUCAGCCUCAGUCUCGCGGGGCACAGCGCCUGCAGGGAGAGGGCCACUGGGUUUCGUCUCUGCUCUGUGUGCUGGCUGGAGGGUGGGAUGCAGAAGUGCUCAGGGACGGGAGAUGGGUCAGCAGGGUGCCCCGUGCUGCCACCGCUUCCUCUUUCAGAAGUUUUGUCACUCAGAGGUUUUGAAUCCUGCAAUAAGCAGUUAUUCUUGGCUAACUUUGGACUUUUCCCUUAAAUGUCAAGCCCCUAAUUUUUAAAUAUUUCUUGGUUUUACUUCUCCUGGCCUAUUUUGCCCCCAGCCCUUGGUUGCUUGCUAGCUCUUUCCUUUACCAGGCCUCCUGCUUUCUAUUCUGCAGGCACACAGCUCAGCCCUGCACGUGAGGAUGUGAGUGAAAGUCGCUCAGUCCUGUCCGACGCUUUGUGACCCCAUGGACUGUAGCCCACCCAGGCUCCUCUGUCAUGGGAUUCUCCAGGCAAGAGUGCUGGAGGAGGAGGGGAAGCACAAGUGGAGGUUUAGCUGUGAUGAGAGUUGCCAGAUUUAGUAGAGCAAAAUGCAGGGCGCCCAGCUGAGUCUCAAUUUCACAUAAACAGAGAAUAAUUUUUCAGUACAAGGACGUCCCUUGUGAUAUUUCUGAUAUACUAAAAAUUAUUCACUGUUUAUCUGAAAUUCAAAUUUAACUGGGUGCCUUGUCUAGUAUCUGGCAACCAUUUGAGCCACGAAGUCUCCUGAACACGCAGCCUGUGCAGUAGGAGGCCAGGAUUGCUGCAGAGUUUGGAACAGUCUCCAAACGUCUGGCAGAAGGGAAGCAGUCUGUCAGAGAGGGCAUCAUGUGGCACAGUCAGGUGAAAUUGCUGCCCCCAAUGCCAGGCCUGCUGAUGUGUGGGGCAUCUGAGGUAGGCCUGAACGGAAUAGCCCUGGAGACUGGCCAAGGUGCCGGUAAUAAAAGGGCGUGUUCUGCUGGGUCCUUCCCAGAAGAUACAGUGUCUGGUUCCGGUGCUGACAACUGACCCAUCUGAUCCCCAUCACACUAGAAUAUUAUUUUUAGAUCUGGGGAAGGAGUGACAAGGUUUUAAAAAUAAGGUACUAGAUAUAGGGGGGAACUGUAUUCAAGAAGCUCAAUCCUAAAAGUAAAUGUGAAAAAAAGAAAAAAGAGAAACUCAGUGAGUCCCGACAAUGAAAUGCAGACCUUGGGCUUGCUAACGUUAGAUCUAGAAAAGGUUAGUACCAGCAGCUUUCCACGUAAAAUUGCCCAAGACUGAGACCCCCACCCUUUUUGUUUUAGGCUGUGCCAUGUGGCAUGUGGGAUCUUAGUUCCCUGACCAGGGAUCAAACCCAGGCCCCCUCCAUUGGGAGCGCAGAGUUUAGCCACUGGUCCACAAGGGAAGUCCCCUUUCACUUUUUUAAUAAGCAAAGAUGAUGCUACUAGCUUCAAGAAAAUUGCUUUAGCCACCUAUAGACAUCUUCAGUUAAUGAAGAGAGAGGCUGUUUUGUUAUCCGCUAUUGGUUUCUGUACAGGAUAUACCCUGUCUGAUCUUCUAGACCUAACCUCAAUCCUUUUUCUCUGCCCUGCUCUGUGGUCUCGGAAGCUGACCCUGAGGACUCCCUCCCCUUCUGUCUUCUUUUAGGACUGGCCAAGAGGAAGACAUCAGCAGGAGAUUGAAGGUCGAAGGAUAGAUGGUCAGAAGAAUAGCUUUUUUGUAGUUAGGGUUUAUUAAAAUGCUCAUGAUUUCAACCACUUGAUAAAAAGUGCUUGAAAUAAGAGAUGAAUAUUUAUUAAUAUGAUAGAAUAUAUCUAUGUCAUUCCCAAGAUAAGCAUUCUACUUUAUAGGGAAAUGCUAGAGGUAGGAAUAAGACAGAAGUGCUUGCUACAACCAUUAUUAGUUAAAAAUUUCCAUAAGAUACUAGCAAUCAUAGACAAAGUAAAGACUUCAAAUAUAAAAAGCUGGGAAAGAAAAAAAAAUACUCGCUAUGUGCAGAUGAUAAGAUUUUAUCUUGAUAAGCCCAAUAAAAACUAUUAUAAAUAAUAAGAUAAUUCAGUAUAUUAGAAGGAUGCAAAAUUAAUAUAUAGAAACCAACUGAUCUCACAUAUACAAACAACAACCUAUUAGAAGAUAGCAGUAUAAAGGACAUUAUUUAAAAUAGCAACAAAAAAGAGAAAAUACUUAGAAAUAAAUUUAACAAAUAUGCACAAGACCUAUAUGUAGAAAACUUAAAAGGAAAAAAAGGGAGAGGGGGGACUCCAAAAAAAAAAGAUUUGAACAAGUAGAAGAUAUAACUGGAUAGGAAAAUAAAAAAUUGUUACAGUGUUAUUUAUCUCAGAGCUACUUUAAAAUUUUAACACAAUUCCAAUAAAAUGCCAAUCUUUUUUCCUUUUGAAGUUGACAAAAUAAUCUUCAAAUUUAUAUUGGAGACAGGGGUAGAAUAACCAGGAAAAUUCUGAAAAGAAGAGAAAUAUGUACAUCUGUGUGUGAGAAAAGGUCAGAUAUUAAAACACAUUAUAAAGCCUUAGUAAUUAAAACAAUGAGGGACUAGUCCAUAAGCGAAUAUACAGAUGAAUGGAAAAGAGGAGAGUGUUCUGUGUGCCUGCAUGCUAAGUUGCUUCAGUAGUGUCCGACCCUGCAUGACGCUAUGGCCUGUAGCCCACCAGGCUCCUCUGUCCAUGGGGAUGGUCUAGGCAAGAAUACUGGAGUGGGUUGCCAUGACCUCCUCCAGUGGAUCUUCCUGAUCCAAGGAUCAAAUCCACGUCUCUUAUGUCUCCUGCCUUGAUAGGUGGGUUCUUUACGACAAGUGCCAUCUGAGAAGCCCCAAGAGUGUUCUGAUACAGACCCAGAUAGAUAAAGGAAUUAGUAUAUGAUAAACCAUCAGGAAAAAGAGCAACUGUUCAAUAAAUGGUAUUGGUAUAACUGAAUAGUCAUCUGGAAUAAAACUAGAUCCAUACUUCACACUGUACAAUAAAAUGUAAAGAAAUCAUAUAUUUCAGUAUAAAAAAAUCAUACUAAAAUUACUAAAACUGUGAAAGAAUUUCUUUAUAACCUUGGAAGUUCUUUAUAAAUGUGACUCAAAAUCCAGAAGCCAUUUAAAAAUUUAUAAAUUCAAUUAUGUAAAAAAUUUUUUAAAAAU
ensembl:lncRNA